GAACGUAUGGCUUAGUGGUCAGGGUUUUGAAGAGCUUUCAAAAGGCGCAGAUUCGGAUCCCGCUUCGUUCG
rnacentral:tRNA from 1 species